CUCCCUCCCUCGGCCAAGAAGCUCUGCUGGUGCCGUCGUCGCCCACCUCCUAGCGACCUUCCUGGGUCCGGGUGUCCCUCCAAGGCAAGGUCAGAACUCAGAGGCUGUAAUCGGGCCUUGGACGCCCGGAUCGUCCUGGUCUGCCUCAUUCUACAACUGAGAAUCCGGUGUCCCGGAGGCCGCCUCUGUCCUGGGCAGACGGCACGGGGUAGCCACCCCCAGCCCGAUGGCUGGCACGCGGUACUGUGGACGGGAUGGUGCCCCCCACCCCAUCACAUGUUGAAGCCCGAACCCUGAUGGGGCUGCACUGGGAGAUGGGACUUUAAGCAGGUAAUCAAGGUUAAAUGCAGUCCUAAGGAUGGGCCCUGAUCCUCAGGACGGGUGUGCUCGUAAGAAGAGGAAGAGACACCAGGAGUAGAGUCCACGUGAUUACAAGGGGAGAAGGUGGCCCUCUGCGAGCCCGGGAGACAGAGCUCGAGAGGCAACAACCCCGCUGGCACCUCGACCUUGGACGUCCAGCUGCCAGAACUGAGAGAAAUAAGCGGUAUUUUGUUACGGCUGCCUGAGCGCACGAAUAUACACGGAGAAAAAUAGAAUCGUAGCCAAAGCCGACACUUAGCAGCCCUCGCGGUGGGCCCAGCGCGGUUCUAAAUCUCUACACGUGUCAGCUGAUGUCAUCUUCACAAAGAGCCCAUGAGUAUGGCUUUCCAUCCAUUUGCCUGGCUGUCCAUCUAUCCGUCCAACCAUCCAUCCAUCCGUCCGUCCCCUCAGCCGGCCAGUCAGCCUGGUGCGAGGCCUGCCUGUGGCCUCCCUGAAAUCAGGGGCUUUGCCUCACCCGUGUUUGUGUUCCUACCUGCCACCCAGCUCCAGGGUUCACAGUAUCACCCCAGGACCAAAUUGGACCCAGCCACCCUGAAAUUCAUCUGUGUCGUCACUUGGAGCAGAGAAAACCUGGCCAUCUGCUCCGGGCUUCGGGGAAGGAGCAGCG